GAAUAUGUUUUGGGCGUUGUGGAGAAGGUCAGGUGUACCGUGGACGCUUCCAUUCAGGAACUUGUCGACAUCACCCUCCAAAGGUACUGUCUUUUCCCUCUCCCAAUCCUGCCCUGCUUGAAUUCUUUGGUCUCUGUACUUGCUGAAAUGAUGUCUGAUAUGGCACCACAGUCCACAGGUAGGAAGGGCCUCUGUAGCUGCCGCACCACCUAUUCCACAAGUUCCACAGCGAAGUUGAUUUGCCGGUGUUUUGCUGCUAAGCCCUGGACGACCAGGACUUCCUCCAUAUGGACCGCCAUCACCAUCAAGAUGCUCAAAUUAGUGGAGGAGCGGAGGUACACCAAGAGGCACAGCCAGAGUCAAAUAAGUGCUCUUUUAGAGGAGACAUGGCAGCGCCUGCAUGAUCGGGGCCUGACCUACUUCAGAUGGUGAACCACAACUCUUAUCAUGAUGAUCCUUAUGCAAAAGAGUUUAGCAUCAAGAUCAGUGAGUGGCUGACGUUGGUCGAUGCACGGGUUUUACGUGCUCCCCGGCUUAAGUACAACAAGAACGGUCGAGAGAAGGAUUGCUUGCCUAGAGUUGGCCAGUGGAAUAUGAUGAACAAGAAACUGUUCAAUGGUGGUACAGUCAGGAGCUGGAUGUGUGCCAAUUUUGCCUGAAACAUGCAGGACAACGUUGCCACUGGGUUCUGCAGUGAACUCGCUUGCAUGUGCCAGGCCCCAGGAAUGGCAAAUAUCCCUAAAAUGCUUCAUUGUACUUGUUGUUCACAACAGUAACACUAUCAAUUAUAGGACUUGUAGCCUGUUAAGCCAGGUUCAAUUAUAGGACAUUGAUUUGUGUGCACUACUAGAUUGAAUGUUCAAGCCAAAUGGAUGCUCAUACCCUUGUGGUGUCUCAGGUGACUUGAAGCGCGUCUGAGAGAUUGACCUUGGGCUGAUCUCGCAGUGCUGUUUGGCCAAUUAUUUAAGAUGAACAAACAGAUCCUGGCAAACCUUGCUCUGAAGAUAAAUGUCAAGGUUGCAUUUUCUUCAGUUGUCGAGUCUAACACAACCUUCUAUUCUCAAAGGUUGUGGGGAAGGAACACUGUGAUGCAGUGUCAAGGUGUGUCCCUUGGUCACCAAUAGGCCAAUGAUCAUAUUAGGCAUCGAUGGUGUGAGUGAAGGCUAGUUAUUCUACCAAGUUCUACUGCACGAGCUCGACACCAUCUGUAGGGCAUGUGCGUCGCUUGAGGCGAACUACCAGACACAUGUCACUUUCAUCGUAGUCCAGAAGCGCCACUACACCAGGUUGUUCGUGCACAACCACAAUGACCAGAACUCCGUCGACCGGAGCGGCAACAUCCUCCCUGGAACUGUUGUCGACUCCAAGAUCUUCCACCCAUGGAGUUCGACUUUGUCCUGAGCAGUUAUGCCGACAUCAAGGGCACGAGUCGCGUGAUGCAUUACCAUGACUGAUGCGCGGCAGUCCCUCACCAACAAACUGUGCUACAUGGCUACACGACAAAGCUACUGGAGGAGCACCACCUGCUCAAUACAGUUAAUCUGGAGGUUUGUUUUACCCUGACAACUCAUCGCAACAAUCGGUAACAACCAGCGCCACCCCCUCGCAGCAGCGACACCCCAGCAACCUGGCUCAUCCCAUGACCGUCUAGAUGAUAGAGUGAAUGGCUCCUACAAGACCUGGUGCUAUCCUGGUUGCGGCAGGCAUCCGUCUUCGAUUACUUCCUGCAUUGAGUUCACCACGCCUCAACCACAACCACGGUGGCCUCUUCAUCAUCUCUACGGUUUAGCUCCUACAAGACCUGGUGUAGUGGUGUUGUGCUGUCCGCGGUGUACAUUUGGCUUCGACUACUUGUUGCAUUGAGUUCACUUCUCCUCAACCACAAGCACGGUGGCCUCUUCAUCAACUCGAUGGUUUAGGACAAUGAGGAUGACAACCAGGGUAAGUUAUGUGGAACCUGGAGCUGCUGCCCGCAGCCUGAUGCAUCACUUGGAAGCUUGAUGAUUGCAGUGUGUGAGUAGCCAAGGUUUCACAUUCGAUACCAUCUUGUAGCGCGGCAUUUAUGUGUUGUAUGUGACCAUCCCAUGGUUGACUUUUGACCUGUGCAUCAGCUCUCGUUGGUGUUGGUGGUUUAGUGUCGUUUGAUUUCUGUUUGGUUCGACCUCUGGUAUGGUUGAAUGCCACAUGAGGUGUGCUGUUGCACUUGUGUAGUUUGUGAAGUGUAUAUAUAUUAAUUGUCGUGUGAUCUUGAAAGUCCGGAAAAUACCC